rnacentral:rRNA from 1 species
GUGACCUCAAAUCAGGUAGGACUACCCGCUGAACUUAAGCAUAUCAAUAAGCGGAGGAAAAGAAACUAACAAGGAUUCCCCUAGUAACUGCGAGUGAAGCGGGAAAAGCUCAAAUUUAAAAUCUGGCGGUCUUUUGGCUGUCCGAGUUGUAAUCUAGAGAAGUGUUAUCCGCGCUGGACCGUGUACAAGUCUCCUGGAAUGGAGCAUCAUAGAGGGUGAGAAUCCCGUCUUUGACAUGGACUGCCAGGGCUUUUGUGAUGCGCUCUC